CCACAGUCUUGGAUACCUUCAGUGAACCAGGAAGUUUUGAGAAAGUCUCAGAGAAAAAAAAAAGAAUUAAAUCAAUUCCGGUUGGACCAGAGACACAGCUGUCACCCCAAGAAUCACACACAGGCUACUGUUGGAACAAAAUGCUGGAUCUGCUUUCACAAUUAAAGUGAUAGUUAUGUUUCCUGGAUUCUCUCAAUGGUGCCUUCCCUUGAAAAAUGUGAAAAGCUUAAAGAACAGUUCUCAGGACUGAAAAAGAUGACAUAAAUCUUGCAGCUGACAGAGAUCCC